CGGCCCGGAAAACCGGCUCGGGGACCGAACCAGAUGAAACUAGUCGGAAAAAAUCACUUUACCGCACCGGACCGGAUUUUUCCGGUUCGGGACCGGGUUCAGGUUGUGAACCGACCGGAAAAAACCGGACCGCCCGCAUAUUUAAUAAUUAUUUAAAUAAAUAUUAUUUUAUUUAAAUUAAUAUUAUUUUUAUAUAGUUGUCGAAUUGUUAUUGGUUGAAAUCAGGGAGUAUGUGAAACCUGAUGCACCUGAUUACUCUCAAUGAGAGAAAACCUAGCUGACUUAGUCAGCCCCUCAUUUCUACUCUUCGAGACUUCGACUCCGCCUCAUCUCUCUAACUCUCUCGACCCUCAGAUCUCUUUCUCGACUCCGUCUUCUUUGCCGACCAAGGAUGCCGAGCAACGCUGACCGAAGACCCCUUCGAACUCCGACCGAAGACGCCGAGCAACACUGACCGAAGACGCCGAGCAACGCCGACCGAGGACUCCUACGAACUCCGAUCGAAGACACCGAGCAAUGCCAGAUCGGAAACGUCUUCUGAUCUCAUCUCUUGAUGGAAUCGGGAAGUGGAGCAUCGCAAACUCUCAAUGCGACACCAACUGGGUCAAGCACCGGAACAACACCAACUGCUACAAGUGAAUCUGCUGCACCGCUUAUGUUGCACCGGAACUUUGAUUUAGUUUUGGAAAUUGCUUUUUGGUUUGAAAUGUUGAACAGUUGGAGCAAAUUGUUGAUGUUUGAAUGUUUGAUAGUUAAUCUGCAGGUUUGACAGUGUUAAUGUUAUUUGUCUAGUUCAGAACUUGAGAUGUUGAUGUCAUGAACAGGUUAUUUGAAAUGUUCAUUACUUGUUGUUUGUUGA